ACUCCUACGGGAGGCAGCAGUGGGGAAGUCUUGGACAAUGGGCGCAAGCCUGAUCCAGCCAUGCCGCGUGAGUGAUGAAGGCCCUAGGGUCGUAAAGCUCUUUCGCCUGUGAAGAUAAUGACGGUAGCAGGUAAAGAAACCCCGGCUAACUCCGUGCCAGCAGCCGCGGUAAUACGGAGGGGUUAGCGUUGUUCGGAAUUACUGGGGCGUAAAGCGCGCGUAGGCGGACUAUUAAGUCAGAGGUGAAAUCCCGGGGCUCAACCCGGAACUGCCUUUGAUACUGGUAGUCUUGAGUUCGAGAGAGGUAAGUGGAAUUCCGAGUGUAGAGGUGAAAUUCGUAGAUAUUCGGAGGAACACCAGUGGCGAAGGCGGCUUACUGGCUCGAUACUGACGCUGAGGUGCGAAAGUGUGGGGAGCAAACAGGAUUAGAUACCCUGGUAGGAUAGCG
rnacentral:rRNA from 1 species